GGGGGGAAAAAAUUUUUAAAAAAUUUUUUUUUAAAAAAAAACCCCCCCCAAAAAACCCCUUUUUUUGGGUUUUUAAAAACCCCCCCAAAAAAAAAAAAGGGGGGGGGGGUUUUUUUUUUCCCCACCUUUUCCCCCUUUUUUGGGAGGGGGAAAAAA